UUGUAGUAUAGUGGUAAGUAUUUUUUUUCCUGUCACGCGGAUGACCCGGGUUCGAUCCCCGACAACGGCGCCA
rnacentral:tRNA from 1 species